rnacentral:rRNA from 1 species
CGGGAGGCAGCAGUGGGGAAUAUUGCGCAAUGGGAGAAAGCCUGACACAGCAACGCCGCGUGAGGGAUGACGGCCUUCGGGUUGUAAACCUCUUUCAGCAGGGACGAAGCGAAAGUGACUGUACCUGCAGAAGAAGCGCCGGCUAACUACGUGCCAGCAGCCGCGGUAAUACGUAGGGCGCAAGCGUUGUCCGGAUUUAUUGGGCGUAAAGAGUUCGUAGGCGGUCUGUCGCGUCGGAAGUGAAAACCCGGAGCUCAACUCCGGGCCUGCUUUCGAUACGGGCAAACUUGAGUGUUGCAGGGGAGACUGGAAUUCCU